AGCGAAACCACAGCCAAGG
rnacentral:ncRNA from 3 species